GUGUUCUCCAACCCAGUCCUCAUGGACCACCAACAGUCCAGGAUUUAUGUAUUUCCCUGUUUUAUUCCAAUGAAGACACUGACAAAACCUGGACUGUUGGUGGUCCAUGAGGACUGGGUUGGAGAAUA
rnacentral:miRNA from 1 species